GACGAACGCUGGCGGCGUGCUUAACACAUGCAAGUCGAGCGGAAAGGCCCUUCGGGGUACUCGAGCGGCGAACGGGCGAGUAACACGUGAGUAACCUGCCCCAGACUUUGGGAUAACCCUCGGAAACGGGGGCUAAUACCGGAUACGACACAGCUUCGCAUGGGGUCUGUGUGGAAAGUUUUUCGGUUUGGGAUGGGCUCGCGGCCUAUCAGCUUGUUGGGGGGGUGAUGGCCUACCAAGGCGACGACGGGGAGCCGGCCUGAGAGGGCGACCGGCCACACUGGGACUGAGACACGGCCCAGACUCCUACGGGAGGCAGCAGUGGGGAAUAUUGCACAAUGGGCGGAAGCCUGAUGCAGCGACGCCGCGUGAGGGAUGACGGCCUUCGGGUUGUAAACCUCGUUCAGCAGGGACGAAGCGUAAGUGACGGUACCUGCAGAAGAAGCGCCGGCCAACUACGUG
rnacentral:rRNA from 1 species